CCCAGGACAUCAGUCCUGAACGGCCGACCCCAGGGAUGCAGUAACACAGAGAACGAUGAACCACCCUUUCCUGCAAGAGAACCCCCUUGCCUACCUCCUGGUUUCUCUAAAGUGCUUCUUCCUGACAAGCAUAAGAGGAGAUUAGGACACUGACACACACAGAGGGACCACCACAUGGGAACACAAGGAGACGACAGCCACCUGAAAGCCAAGGAGAGAGCCCCAGAAGAAAUCAGCCCCCCUGACACCUUGAUCUUGGUCUUCCAGUCUCCGGAACUGUGAGAAAAUGCGUUUCCGUUGUUGAAGCCUCCGGCCUAUGGUAUACAAACACAGGUGGACAUCACUUUCCUGGCGGGUAACCAUCUAACUUAGAUGGAUUCAUGAAGAGCCUUCCACAGUGGUACAGGCGGGAUUCACCGGAGAGCAAGAAGCACCCAGGGACACACAACAGUGGGAGCCAUUAACACCCCAGACCUAAAGAGGCAAAGGGAACAGUCCCAGGAGACAGCAAUCCAUUUGAAGGAAAAGAAGUGUCAAGUCCCUAAAUUAUCAGCGUGCCAAGAACACUUGUUAAUAAAUCCUGUACACAGA